rnacentral:lncRNA from 1 species
CAAAUUCACAUGAUUACUUAUAAUAACACUUAUCCCAUGUCCUUAGGAACAAACAUAACUACUUACAAAGCAUAUUCAUGUUCAUAAUCAUUGGAGUAACAAUAAUCAUUAAGGAUAUGAACAUAUAAUCUCCCACCAAAUAAACCAACUAGCAUCAACUACAAGGAGUAAUCAUCACUACUAGCAACCCAUAGGUACCAAUGUGAGGUUUUGAGACAAAGAUCAGAUACAAGAGAUGAACUAAGGUUUGGAGAGGAGAUGGUGCUGAUGAAGAUGCUGAUGGAGAUUGACCUCCUCUCGAUGAGAGGAUCAUUGGUGAUGAC